UUUCAAGAAGGCGAGAGUGAUCAACAAUAUCAAACCCUGCGGAGAAUUCCAAUAAGCCAGGGAUGGAAAACCACCCACUGCAGUUGGGAAUUCGUCUGUGACCUUUGUGACUUAACCAAGUUUCACUGUAGCAAGAAUUUUAUCCUGCCCAUGGCCGGGACUUCGGCUUAUUCAUUUUGGAGUCAUCCCCAGCCUGGGGCAGCCAACCGGGAGCAGAAUAAAUAUAUUCUGUGGCUUAAAAUAAAUUGUCAGAAAUGGAAGGUCAAAA